rnacentral:rRNA from 1 species
UACGUAGGGUGCAAGCGUUGUCCGGAAUUAUUGGGCGUAAAGAGCUUGUAGGCGGUCUGUCGCGUCUGCUGUGAAAUCCGGGGCUCAACCCCGGACUUGCAGUGGGUACGGGCAGACUAGAGUGUGGUAGGGGAGACUGGAAUCCUGGUGUAGCGGUGAAAUGCGCAGAUAUCAGGAGGAACACCGAUGGCGAAGGCAGGUCUCUGGGCCACUACUGACGCUGAGAAGCGAAAGCAUGGGGAGCGAACAGG